AAUAAGUAAUUGAUACACGUGGAAAACAUUUUAAUUUUUUCCGUCUUACGAAUAUGCAUUUAUAGGAAUUGUAUAUUAUUCGAGACAUGCAUAAAUUAUGUUGUACCGAAAUUCAAAUUAAACUCGUAAUACAUAAUGGAUGAGAAAUGAGAAAUCUCUUCUAGAUAAGUUGCUAAGAAUACGACUGCAACCCCGGCAUUACGAGGGCAUUCGAUCAGAAAAUUAAUCUCAGUUCAGGGUGCGAACGAUAUUUAUAUUACUUGUCAAGAACAAGGAUUUAGUGAUUUGUGAGACAAGCUAGACUCAAACGGUGCACCUGCGUUGAGUGAAAAUAAAGUACUUUUGUGAUUCCACCACCUGCAGUGAAAGAAAGUCACGACAGGAUGUCAUCGUGUAGUUUGAUUCGAUUUAUUAACUAGGACUUCAACUCUCGAACCAAUCUCACAAAAAUUUCCAUCUCUUAACAUUCUUCUGAUUCGCAGUCUAACGAGGACUGUCAAGAAGUAGAGAAAAUUCCCUGGAAGCACUCGUGGCACGUCUAUUCUGCCAUGAUUUAUGGAGAUGCGAAUAUCAUGUAAUUACACCGCAGGACAAGAGAUUUAGAAGCGAGGAGCCACGAUUUUAUGUCCUCUUGUCGUGCUCAACACUGUGUUUUACUCCGAUGACUUUGAUACUUUGGCAUUGACAUCCGCCUUUUUAUGGACAACCAGAAGACUUUCUAUGCAAUCUGGCCGUAAAAUGAAUUCAAUGCUACAUACAUUACUAAAAAAACUGUAUUUAAUCCUCUUUUCUUCAUGUAUGUAUGGAUCUCACAUGCACCACGUGAUAUGUAAUUAUUGCAGAUUGAAACCAACCAGCUUUUGUGCAGACUUUAUAUCCUGGAAGAGCAUCCUCCUUGCAACGGACCCGAUGGUCAUGAAAUACACAAUACUUUGUAUGUCUUGAACUUUAUGAAAACUAUGUAUACACAUUUUCCCAUUGUGAAAUACGUGUUUGUGCAGCAGACUUGUUACGUAAGCUUGGUGUACAAUUCACACAGCCCAACGAAUGAGCAGCACACAAUACAAAUUCACGGACCAUUUCCUUGCUGGCUGCCAAUAAAUCUGCGACAUUUCGUUUUUCUCCAUCAGCCUAACGAGAAAAUGUCUCGAGACCACCAACUCACUCACUUUCGCUGCCUAGGUGAAUUCCAAAAAUUGUGAUUGCGGCAUCAAAGCCAACGUGAUUCUAUUUACCUGCUCAAAUAGAUAUGCACACACAGGAAGAUAUGUAUGCAGAGAUAUGAGAUUUCUUUCUGUGAAUAAUAUUUGUAUAGUUUA